rnacentral:rRNA from 1 species
UACGUAGGGUCCGAGCGUUAAUCGGAAUUACUGGGCGUAAAGCGUGCGCAGGCGGUUUUGUAAGUCUGUCGUGAAAGCCCCGGGCUUAACCUGGGAAUUGCGAUGGAGACUGCAAGGCUUGAAUCUGGCAGAGGGGGGUAGAAUUCCACGUGUAGCAGUGAAAUGCGUAGAGAUGUGGAGGAACACCGAUGGCGAAGGCAGCCCCCUGGGUCAAGAUUGACGCUCAUGCACGAAAGCGUGGGGAGCAAACAGG